AACGAACGCUGGCGGCAUGCCUAACACAUGCAAGUCGAACGAGACCUUCGGGUCUAGUGGCGCACGGGUGCGUAACGCGUGGGAACCUGCCCUUAGGUUCGGAAUAACUCCCCGAAAGGGGUGCUAAUACCGGAUAAUGUCUUCGGACCAAAGAUUUAUCGCCUUUGGAUGGGCCCGCGUUGGAUUAGCUGGUUGGUAGGGUAAAAGCCUACCAAGGCGACGAUCCAUAGCUGGUCUGAGAGGAUGAUCAGCCACACUGGGACUGAGACCCGGCCCAGACUCCUACGGGAGGCAGCAGUGGGGAAUAUUGGACGAUGGGGGAAGGCCUGAUCCAGCAAUGCCGCGUGAGUGAUGAAGGCCUUAGGGUUGUAAAGCUCUUUUACCCGGGAUGAUAAUGACAGUACCGGGAGAAUAAGCACCGGCUAACUCCGUG
rnacentral:rRNA from 1 species